CCUACGGGCGGCUGCAGUGGGGAAUAUUGGACAAUGGGCGAAAGCCUGAUCCAGCCAUGCCGCGUGUGUGAAGAAGGCCUUCGGGUUGUAAAGCACUUUCAGUGGGGAAGAAAGCCUUGGGGCUAAUACCCUCGAGGAAGGACAUCACCCACAGAAGAAGCACCGGCUAACUCCGUGCCAGCAGCCGCGGUAAUACGGAGGGUGCGAGCGUUAAUCGGAAUUACUGGGCGUAAAGCGCGCGUAGGCGGUCUGAUAAGCCGGUUGUGAAAGCCCCGGGCUCAACCUGGGAACGGCAUCCGGAACUGUCAGGCUAGAGUGCAGGAGAGGAGGGUAGAAUUCCCGGUGUAGCGGUGAAAUGCGUAGAGAUCGGGAGGAAUACCAGUGGCGAAGGCGGCCUUCUGGACUGACACUGACGCUGAGGUGCGAAAGCGUGGGUAGCAAACAGGAUUAGAUACCCGUGUAGUC
rnacentral:rRNA from 1 species